rnacentral:hammerhead_ribozyme from 1 species
ACGCGAAACCGCCCCUUUGGGGGCGGUCGUCAGAGCGUGGUGGCUCUGGCCUGAUGAGCAGCCGGAA